GAGGGGAGGAGCCGGGCAGGGAGGGAGGGUCAGGUGUGUUCCCGGCGGGGUUGAGCAGGACCCCCUCGCCCUCCAGGGGACACCAGGAGAAGAUUCGGCAGCGGCAGUCCAUCCUGCCCCCUCCCCAGGGCCCGGCGCCCAUCCCCUUCCAGCACCGCGGCGGGGAUUCCCCGCAGGCCAAGAAUCGCGUGGGCCCGCAGGUGCCACUCAGCGAGCCAGGUAGGCCGAAGGGCUGGAGGGGGCUCCACAGGGCUCGUUGUGCGGGGGCUCGGUGAGCAGCCGCCGUGUCCCCCAUCAGGUUUCCGCCGUCGGGAGUCGCAGGAGGAGGAGCCGCGGGCCUUGCUGGCUCAGAAGAUAGAGAAGGAGACGCAAAUCCUCAACUGCGCCCUGGACGACAUUGAGUGGUUUGUGGCCCGGCUGCAGAAGGCGGCUGAGG
rnacentral:sRNA from 1 species